rnacentral:rRNA from 1 species
UACAGAGGUCCCAAGCGUUGUUCGGAUUCACUGGGCGUAAAGGGUGCGUAGGUGGUCGGGUAAGUCUGAUGUGAAAUCUCCGAGCUCAACUCGGAAACGGCAUCGGAUACUAUCCGGCUCGAGGAUCGGAGGGGAGACUGGAAUUCUCGGUGUAGCAGUGAAAUGCGUAGAUAUCGAGAGGAACACCAGUGGCGAAGGCGAGUCUCUGGACGAUUCCUGACGCUGAGGCACGAAAGCUAGGGGAGCAAAC